rnacentral:rRNA from 1 species
UACGAGGGGGGCAAAUGUUGUUCGGAAUCAUUGGGCGUAAAGAGCUCGUAGGCGGUUUGUUGCGUCGGCUGUGAAAUCCCGAGGCUCAACCUCGGGUCUGCAGUCGAUACGAGCAAACUAGAGUGUUGCAGGGGAGACUGGAAUUCCUGGUGUAGCGGUGAAAUGCGCAGAUAUCAGGAGGAACACCGGUGGCGAAGGCGGGUCUCUGGGCAACAACUGACGCUGAGGAGCGAAAGCGUGGGGAGCGAACAGG